rnacentral:lncRNA from 1 species
UUGUAGAUAUAGAUGAUUAACUAGGAAAUUCAAAACCUUUUCAAAGUCUUUCUUCUGAUUGAAUAUAUGAGUUUGCCAUAUUUAUUUCAUUAAAUAGUAAGAAAUUUUUCAAAGAGAGUUAUGGAAUAAGACAGGAGGAAUAUUUUUGUUCCUUGCACCAAUUUUUGUUAAACUUUAUAUUUUUGUCAAAGAAAUAUGGAUACGAAUUUGUUAGUUGAAUUGAGGAUUCAUGUACCAGUG